rnacentral:rRNA from 1 species
UACAGAGGGUGCGAGCGUUAAUCGGAAUUACUGGGCGUAAAGGGCGCGUAGGCGGCUUUUCAAGUGACGGGUGAAAUCCCUCGGCUUAACCGAGGAACUGCCUGUCAGACUGGAAGGCUUGAGACCGGGAGAGGUGAGUGGAAUUCCCAGUGUAGCGGUGAAAUGCGUAGAUAUUGGGAGGAACACCAGUGGCGAAGGCGGCUCACUGGACCGGAACUGACGCUGAGGCGCGAAAGCGUGGGGAGCAAACAGG